GUGUGUAUGUGUGUGUGUGUUUGUGUUUUUAUUUUUUGAAUUCUAAUCUGGAUCAACGCUUAAUGUUUCAUUAGAAACGUAUUUGCUAAUUUGUUUUUGCUUUCCGUGAUACCUUUUGUUUCCUUGAUAUUUGAUUUAGAUCUCCAUUCUGGACAGUUCUAUGAUUUCGUUGACUUUUGGGCAUUUUGGUGUUAUUUGGUGGAUCCGUACGUUUGACAAUGUGAUUUUAUUGGAAUUGGAUGCUCUUGCGUAUAUUGAUUAUUAUAUUCAAGGCUUAUGUGUGUUUUGAAUUUUGAUAUAGACAUGGAUUGCCUUUUUCCCCAAAUUUUUGGUUAUUAUUUCUGUUGAGUCG
rnacentral:misc_RNA from 1 species